CUCUUCGCAGUGGCAGUGGCAGUGUGCAGUCGUUUCAAUGGUUCAAUCUCCCUCGAUGCUUUAAUCGGCAAACAUUGUUUUGACAGAGCUUUAAUCGAGGAAAUGGGAUAAAACAUUGGCUUGUGUACGAUCCUACAAUCUUCUCACCACGAGGGUAGUGAUUGAAGAUGAUUGAAUCACCCAUGGAUAUUUUGAAAGUCUGUGAAGUUGUUCUGUGUAUGGUUAUUUUUAGAAUAGCAUAUAUAUUGUCCUUCAUCAAUGAUGAAUUUAAUGCCAUUGUCACAUUGAGCAAUUCAUUUGCAGCAGGAAAUCACAACUUGGCUUUUGUCAUGUCACUUACAGGAACAUGUUGCGAAAAAGACCCUUGUUGCCACAAUUGGCCAAUCUGCCAAAACAGUAAUGACACGAUCCUUGGCUGCAAUGCCUGUCCCAGCAGACUGAUUUCAGGUUUGUCUGGCACCAUUUCCUGCUCACAGUGCAGGUUCAUGAGAUUAAAGGAAUUGUCUGUGAGCUGCCUGGGAUAUUCAUAGACCUGGAUGCUGAUGCGUAUAUGACCUCAUACCCCCGUCUCCCUCCCCCACCCAGAAAUUAUUUUCUGCUGUUUUACCCCUUCUCUUCCAACAAAACAUGCAAACUUCCUCCAGCUCAUAAUUCUGAAAUAGAUUGAAAGAGCAGAGCUCCUCUGUACAAUUUCUUUUGGUUUGCUUCAUGCUGGACUUAUGCCAAAUUGAUUUGCUAAACAAUGACAGGCAUUGUUUACAUGAUGGAAGCUGAACUGGAAACAGGAGUAACUUUGCAUAUUUACAUUUAAUUGCUGUUUAAGUCUCCAGGUGGCCAAUAAAUGUGAAUAAUGGAUCUAUGUAUUUCCUGUGGAAGCAUGAAUGCAACAGAUAACAUAAGACAACACCAGCUUGUUCAUGGCUCAACUUAAUGUUCUCAACGACAUGAACUUCCAUUGACACAGCACCUUUUCAUUGAAACAAAAGUUCCCUGUUGAACCAAUAAAUGAGAAAUGAGAAGAAGAAUGAUUGAUAACCUGCUCAACAUGGAUAUUCAGGAAGAUGUUAAUGAAGAAUUAAAAAGAGGGUUUUCCUAAUUGUCUGUGUGUUAGCUAGUUGCAUGAGUCCAGCAGCUAUCACCCAGGCUGGACCGAAUACACUGAGGAUUACUGAGCAAGAUCAUUGUAGAAAUUGAAGAGAUGCUGACAAAGAUCCUUUAAUGCUUGUUAGGAUUAAAGGUUCCUAACAGGAGAAGUCUCAAUGAUCUUAAAAACUGCAAAUGUUCCAUCCUGUUCAAAAAAUGAAGGCAAAGGUUGUUCAAGAUGCUACCCCACAGUAUUGCCAAAUGACAUCUUGUUUAUCGAGCAAUACACACAAAAUGCUGGAAGAACUCUGCAGGUCAGGCAGCAAUUACGGAAAUGAAUAAACAGUUGAUGUUUCAGGCCGAGACUUUUAUUCAGGGCUGGAAAUGAACUGGAAAGACACCAGAAUUAAAAGGGUGAGGGAUAGGGAAAUAGGACUAGCUAUAAGGUGAUUGGCAGUCAGGUGAGUGGGAAAGGUAAAGGGAUGGAGAAGAAUGAAUCCUUUAGGAGAGGACAGUGCAUUAUUGGAGAAAGAGAAGAAGGAGGUGCACCAGGGGGAGGUGAUAUUCAAGUGAGGAGAGAAGGUCAGAGGUCAGAGAUGGGAAUAGAAGAAGAGGGAAGGGGGAGAAAGGAAAAAAAAAUUCUGCAAGGAGAAAUCAAAACUCAUGCCAUUAGUUUGGGAACUAUUUAGAAGGAAUAUAAGGUGUUACUCCUCCACCCUAAGAGUGGCCUUAUUGGGACAAAAGAGGAGGCCAUGGACCAACAUGUCAGAAGGAGAAAGGGAAUAAGAAUUAAAAUGGUUGGCCACCAGGAAAUUCAACAUUUUACAGAAGAGCAGAAAUGUUCAACAAAGCUGUCUCCCAAUUUACAUCAAGUUUCACCAAGGUUGUGUAAGCUGCAUCAGGAACAUGCAGUAGACAACCCCAAAAACUUUACAGGUGGAGUGUUGCUUCUCCUGAAAGGAUUGUUUGGGGCCCCUGAAUAGAGGUAAGAAUGGAAGUGAAUGGUUAGGUGUAGAAUUUCUGUCACUCUUAGGGAUAUGUGCCAGGAGUGAGAUUAGUGGGGAGGGACAAAUGGACAAAGCAAUCACCAAGGGAGUGAUCCCUUAAGAAAGCAGAGAGUGGAGAGGGGUAGUAAAGAUAAAUUUAGUGGUAAAAUCUCGUUAAAGAAGGCAAAUUUUGCAGAGAAUGAUGUGCUCUUUGCAGAGACUCAUGGGGUGGUAGGUAAGGACACGUGGAGCACUAUUCCUGUUAAAGCAGCAGGAAAAUGGGGCAAGAAUAGAUGUCCAGGAAAUGGAGGAGGUGUAUUAUCAAGGGAGGAAGAAGGGAAACCCUGUUCUUUGAAGAAGGAGGAUAUCUAUGAUGUUCUGGAAAGGAAAUAUUUGUGUACCGCUCAGUUUUGCGUACUCUUGUCCAAGGAAAUCAUGCUAUCUGUUUUCUGAAGUCUUCCCCUCACCUGCAUUUUCCAAUCAGUUUAUCUGCCAAGACUUAAGAACCCAAAUUGAUUUCUAAUUGACAGCCCAGUUAGAUUUCAAUUUUGAUGGACUGAAACAUUUGCCCACUGUACUUUGCUCUGAUACACAGACCUGACUAACGAUCUCAACAUAUUCCAAUGUUAUUGUACGAUUUCAGGUUGUUCAUAAUGCAGCCUUUAGCCAGCUUUUAAAUAUCUCUGAAGAUGUGGUUAGCUCCAGCACUGAAUAAUAUAUUUAGUUUCAAGAUCAAGCAUGCACGUUGUUCAGUCUAUGGAGCUUUUGUAGUUGGCUAACAAGGAAUUUAGAUUAAGUAUUUAUAUUAUGAAUAAUAUCGCAUGAUAAUAUGAUGUCAUUCAUCCCCACUUUCCUUUGAUGGUUCAUCAACAGAAUAACAAAUGUCAGCAUGAAUUGUUUUCAUACUCAUCAUUUCUAUUAUAAUCGUCAGCAGUAAUAUAAAAGUUUGUUGGCCUGAUUUUAUGUACUGUUCUUCAGAACCACAGAUCUUCCCAAACAGUUUUACAAGAUUUUUGUGGGUGAUAUACUAAUAUAAUAUAGGUGGAGUGUCCCUUAUCUAAAAUUCCAAAAUUUGCAAACCUCCGAAAUCCAAAAUAUUUUUGAGUGCUGACAUGAUGUCACAAAUGGAAAAUUCUACAAGGUGCUGUGGAGGUUUCCAGGUGAUACAUAGGUCUCUGCACACCAAAGACAGU